GAUAAUUUAUCUCCGUGUUGUAGCUAACGCGUUAAGCACUCCGCCUGGGGACUACGGUCGCAAGACUAAAACUCAAAGGAAUUGACGGGGACCCGCACAAGCGGUGGAGCAUGUGGUUUAAUUCGAUGCAACGCGAAAAACCUUACCACUCCUUGACAUGGAGAUUAGAUCCUUCUUAACAGAAGGGCGCAGUUCGGCUGGAUCUCGCACAGGUGCUGCAUGGCUGUCGUCAGCUCGUGUCGUGAGAUGUUGGGUUAAGUCCCGCAACGAGCGUAACCCUCAUCCUUAGUUGCCAGCGGGUAAGCCGGGCACUUUAAGGAAACUGCCGGUGGUAAACCGGAGGAAGGUGGGGAUGAUGUCAAGUCAGCACGGCCCUUAUGGGGUGGGCUACACACGUGCUACAAUGGUGACUACAAUAGGUUGCAAUGUCGCAAGCCUGAGCUAAUCCGUAAAAGUCAUCUCAGUUCGGAUUGUCCUCUGCAACUCGAGGGCAUGAAGCCGGAAUCGCUAGUAAUCGUGGAUCAGCAUGCCACGGUGAAUACGUUCUCGGGUCUUGUACACACUGCCCGUCACGCCAUGGGAAUUGGCUUAACUCGAAGCUGGUGCGCUAACCGAAAGGA
rnacentral:rRNA from 1 species